GAUGAACGCUGGCGGCGUGCCUAAUACAUGCAAGUCGAGCGAACAGACUUGGUGCUUGCUCCUCUUUCGUUAGCGGCGGACGGGUGAGUAACGCGUGGAUAACCUACCUUUGAGACUGGGAUAACUUCUGGAAACCGAUGCUAAUACCGCAUAAUAUCUUUAACCACAUGGUUCAAUAUUGAAAGACGCUUUUGCUGUACCCUAUAGAUAUCCCCGCGCCGCAUUAGCUAGUUGGUAAGGUAACGGCUUACAAAGGCAACGAUGCGUAGCCGACCUGAGAGGGUGAUCGGCCACACUGGAACUGAGACACGGUCCAGACUCCUACGGGAGGCAGCAGUAGGGAAUCUUCCGAAAUGGGCGAAAGCUUGACGGAGCAACGCCGCGUGAGUGAUGAAGGUCUUCGGAUCGUAAAACUCUGUUAGUAGGGAAGAACAAAUGUGUAAGUAACUAUGCACGUCUUGACGGUACCUAAUCAGAAAGCCACGGCUAACUACGUG
rnacentral:rRNA from 1 species